rnacentral:tRNA from 1 species
GUUCGGGUGGUGCAAUCGGCAGACACACCGAGCUUAAACCUCGGACGUUGCGGGUUCGAACCCCGCCCCGAACACCA